CAUUGUAAUGACAUGAAUAUGUUUUAGUGAAGAAAUCAGAGAAGCCUAGAAAAAUUAGACCAUAAAGUUGACUUGAGAACUCUUUGAAAGAUUCAGGAAGUCAGCAACUGGAUGACAGAGAUUCUUGCCAGGGAACCCUUCCCUGGUGUCUGGAAUGAAAGGACUCUACACACUGAAAACUAGGGUGUAAGCAGAGUACAGAGGCUGCAGAAUUCAACUGGAUGUGUGUCAUAAUUUGGAAUUGGGUCAGAGAAAUGUAAUGCUCUAAAAUAAUCAGGAACAGAGCUGGUGGCUGCUUACUGGCUCUCUCCACAAAUCCUCGCUUUCAAAGGGAGAAACUGGAGUAACAACUCUUUCAGGGACUGGUUCCAGGCACAAUAGACCUUGACUAUUCCAGUCAAGAUUUCAACAGCUCAGAAGGUGACCAAAGUAGGUGAGGAUAUCUGUUCCAUUUCUCAACUACUUUUCUCUUAGUCUGCAUUCUGAUCCAUGCUAAAGAUAAGGCUCGGAAAGGAGACCUUCCCUCAAGACCCUUGCUCAAAUAGUGAAGAAGUACUUUGAUCAGAGCUGUUCGGAAGGUUGAAAGAGGCAGUGCUGGGGGGCUGUGUUGGAGAGGAGAGGGGAGACA